CUCUCUAUUUGCCUGGAUUCGAUUGUAAUUGAGAUCAAUCUCCAGUCAUAAUGGGGGGGA
rfam:Pristionchus pacificus strain PS312 contig8426, whole genome shotgun sequence.